UACGUAGGGGCGCAAGCGUUGUCCGGAAUUAUUGGGCGUAAAGAGCUCGUAGGCGGCUUGUCACGUCGAUUGUGAAAGCCCGAGGCUUAACCUCGGGUCUGCAGUCGAUACGGGCUAGCUAGAGUGUGGUAGGGGGAGGAUCGGAAUUCCUGGUGGUAGCGGUGAAAAUGCGCAGAUAUCAGGAGGAACACCGGUGGCGGAAGG
rnacentral:rRNA from 1 species